AAAAGCAGUGAAGUUUGUUCUCACAGCUUUACUGCAGACCACUAACUGGAGAGGCCCACACUCAUUGCUUCACCACUUCAACAUUGUGAUUUUUCCAACAUUUCCAGCAGUACCAUUAAGCUAAAUGCAGUUCCUCAGUGUGUGACACCCACUGUCAAGCAGAGAGGAGAGAGUGUGAUGAUCUGGGGCUUGUUUACUGGAGCAAAGAUUCAUCGCCAUGGAGAUGCGUUGGUCAGCUCUGACCCUGCUGCUGGUUCUGUGUGUCAUUCCAUACACUGAUGCUCAGACGGAAAAAGAAUUCAUCAAAAAGCAUAUUAGACCUUUACUAAACUGUAAUGAAACCAUGAAAGAAAUCAACGGCAGAGGAAAUUGCAAAUAUAUCAAUACCUUCAUACUGGAUGAGAUUAGCAAUGUGAGGCAGGUGUGUAUGGGUGACAAAUUUCAUCAUAAUAAUUCUCAAUGUUAUCAAAGCAGGAAGAAGUUUAAUAUAAUUGAAUGCAAAGUUCUCAAUUCCAGUUCACCCAGUUGUAUUUACAAUCGUGUAAAUGCAAACAAGCCCAUUAAAAUAACAUGUGAUGAAAGCAACAAACCAGUGCAUUUUGGAUGUUAGCAUACAAAGCCAAUAGUAUUUUUUAAUUAAACGAUUAAUUUACUUUAUUUACCUAAGCUGUAACAAAAACAUUUAAUCAAAAAGUUUAGCUUCAUAUAUAAAUUUCCACUUGAUUAAAUGUGUUUUUCAAGAAACAAAUGAGUCGUUAAAAUCUAAUAUUAAAAAGGUUUCUGAGCAACUA